rnacentral:rRNA from 1 species
GCUAGCGGCGUGCUUAACACAUGCAAGUCGAACGGAAAGGCCCUGCUUUUGUGGGGUGCUCGAGUGGCGAACGGGUGAGUAACACGUGAGUAACCUGCCCUUGACUUUGGGAUAACUUCAGGAAACUGGGGCUAAUACCGGAUAGGAGCUCCUGCUGCAUGGUGGGGGUUGGAAAGUUUCGGCGGUUGGGGAUGGACUCGCGGCUUAUCAGCUUGUUGGUGGGGUAGUGGCUUACCAAGGCUUUGACGGGUAGCCGGCCUGAGAGGGUGACCGGCCACAUUGGGACUGAGAUACGGCCCAGACUCCUACGGGAGGCAGCAGUGGGGAAUAUUGCACAAUGGGCGGAAGCCUGAUGCAGCAACGCCGCGUGCGGGAUGACGGCCUUCGGGUUGUAAACCGCUUUCGCCUGUGACGAAGCGUGAGUGACGGUAAUGGGUAAAGAAGCACCGGCUAACUACGUGCCAGCAGCCGCGGUGAUACGUAGGGUGCGAGCGUUGUCCGGAUUUAUUGGGCGUAAAGGGCUCGUAGGUGGUUGAUCGCGUCGGAAGUGUAAUCUUGGGGCUUAACCCUGAGCGUGCUUUCGAUACGGGUUGACUUGAGGAAGGUAGGGGAGAAUGGAAUUCCUGGUGGAGCGGUGGAAUGCGCAGAUAUCAGGAGGAACACCAGUGGCGAAGGCGGUUCUCUGGGCCUUUCCUGACGCUGAGGAGCGAAAGCGUGGGGAGCGAACAGGCUUAGAUACCCUGGUAGUCCACGCUGUAAACGGUGGGUACUAGGUGUGGGGUCCAUUCCACGGGUUCCGUGCCGUAGCUAACGCUUUAAGUACCCCGCCUGGGGAGUACGGCCGCAAGGCUAAAACUCAAAGGAAUUGACGGGGCCCCGCACAAGCGGCGGAGCAUGCGGAUUAAUUCGAUGCAACGCGUAGAACCUUACCUGGGUUUGACAUGGAUCGGGAGUGCUCAGAGAUGGGUGUGCCUCUUUUGGGGUCGGUUCACAGGUGGUGCAUGGCUGUCGUCAGCUCGUGUCGUGAGAUGUUGGGUUAAGUCCCGCAACGAGCGCAACCCUUGUUCACUGUUGCCAGCACGUUAUGGUGGGGACUCAGUGGAGACCGCCGGGGUCAACUCGGAGGAAGGUGGGGAUGACGUCAAGUCAUCAUGCCCCUUAUGUCCAGGGCUUCACGCAUGCUACAAUGGCUGGUACAGAGAGUGGCGAGCCUGUGAGGGUGAGCGAAUCUCGGAAAGCCGGUCUCAGUUCGGAUUGGGGUCUGCAACUCGACCUCAUGAAGUCGGAGUCGCUAGUAAUCGCAGAUCAGCAACGCUGCGGUGAAUACGUUCCCGGGGCUUGUACACACCGCCCGUCAAGUCAUGAAAGUUGGUAACACCCGAAGCCGGUGGCCUAACCGUUGUGGGGGAGCCGUCGAAGGUGGGACUGGUGAUUAGG